AGCUUGAGAGGAUCUGCAGAGAAGAAUUGGAGAAACUCCCCAAAUACAGCAGUGCUUGCCCACCCACUCAGCUACCAAGUGACCUAUUCUGCCACAUCCCAGUGAAAGGAGAGUCCAGAACCACCACUCCUUAAAUCCAUAUUGACAGUGCAAAACCAUUGUCCUGAUUCAACAGACUCCUCUCUUGGUGAGUUAUGUGCCUCCCAUGUCUCAUGCUCAUUCUCUGUCGCUCACUCAAACUCACACUAAGUGCAGUUGCAGAGAAAAGGAAGAGAUUUGCAGAUUACACCCAUUUCUAACACUGUUUGUUGUAGGCAUGAUAUGACAGACACCACUUUUGAACAAUAUAAUAUUUUGUCUCUUUAUUGCAGUGGUCACCAACUGGGCAAUCGACUGGUCGAUCUUCAAGGCGUUCCUAGUCACAUAUCAGUUUGUCUCUGUGAAUGGUUUGUCCUCUGACAAAUCAAUUGUAAAUUUCGGUGUUCCU